UCUAGAACUCGAGAUAUGGACUGAACACUCAACAGUAUCUAGGAUGCAGGACAUAUUCAGACUUUUCUUUUGUUGUUAAGAUGUGAACUUCAAAACAGACGAAUUGAGUCUUGGACUCUUCAUGAAUAUUUUAGGCCUAUGUCAUAGCUUUCUAUC
rnacentral:pre_miRNA from 1 species